AUCUACGGUCAUACCACCCUGAAUGUGACCAAUCUCAUCUGAUCUGGGAAGCCACGCAGGGUUAGGCCUGGUUAGUUCUUGGAUGGAAGGUA
rnacentral:rRNA from 1 species